CCCCAAUAACUCUACGGAUCGCCUCCGCACUAUAAUCAACACGGAUUCCCCGCACCACCGUGAAUCCAUCGCGAUUCUCCUUGGCAUCAGCAUAAAACUCUCGAAUAAUAGCCAAGGGAACCGCCUCCGGAGCCUCGCAAAAAGACUCCCAACCUCGUUCUUGAACCAUGUUCAAUAGCUCACCAUCUUCCGCCGUGGGUAAGAAU
rnacentral:lncRNA from 1 species